UACGAAGGGGGCUAGCGUUGCUCGGAAUCACUGGGCGUAAAGCGCACGUAGGCGGACUCUUAAGUCGGUGGUGAAAUCCUGGAGCUCAACUCCAGAACUGCCUUCGAUACUGGGAGUCUCGAGUUCGGGAGAGGUGAGUGGAACUGCGAGUGUAGAGGUGAAAUUCGUAGAUAUUCGCAAGAACACCAGUGGCGAAGGCGGCUCACUGGCCCGAUACUGACACUGAGGCACGAAAGCGUGGGGAGCAAACAGG
rnacentral:rRNA from 1 species